rnacentral:rRNA from 1 species
GACAAACGCUGGCGGCGUGCUUUACGCAUGCAAGUCGAACGGACCCCUGCGAGGGGGUCAGUGGCAGACGGCUGAGGAGAACAGAAGGAACUGGCCCGACGGAGGGGGAUACCCCCGCGAAAGCGGGGCUAAGACCGCGUACGCUCGGGGGGGGCAGGGCCCCCCGAGGAAAACCAUCCGGUGCCGUCGGAGAGGCUUCUGGCCCAUCAGGUAGUUGGCGGGGUAAAGGCCCACCAAGCCGAUGACGGGUUGCUGGUCUGAGAGGAUGACCAGCCAG